GGUGAGGUGGCCGAGAGGCUGAAGGCGGCGGUUUGCUAAACCGUUGAAGGGGCAUAAACCUCUUCCCAGGGUUCGAAUCCCUGCCUCACCGCCA
rnacentral:tRNA from 1 species